GAUGAACGCUGGCGGCGUGCCUAAUACAUGCAAGUCGAGCGAACAGACGAGGAGCUUGCUCCUCUGACGUUAGCGGCGGACGGGUGAGUAACACGUGGAUAACCUACCUAUAAGACUGGGAUAACUUCGGGAAACCGGAGCUAAUACCGGAUAAUAUAUUGAACCGCAUGGUUCAAUAGUGAAAGACGGCUUUGCUGUCACUUAUAGAUGGUUCCGCGCCGCAUUAGCUAGUUGGUAAGGUAACGGCUUACCAAGGCAACUAUGCGUAGCCGACCUGAGGGGCGGAUAGGCCACACUGGAACUGGGCCACGGUCAAGACUCCUACGAGAGGGAGCAGUAGCGAAUCUUCGGCAGUGGGCGAAAGCCUGACGGAGCGAGGCCGCGUGAGUUAUGAAGGUCUUCGGAGCGUGAAACUGUGUUAUUGGGGAAGAACAAAUGUGUAAGGAGCUGUGCACGUCUUGACGGUACCUGGUCAGAAAGCCACGGCUAACUACGUG
rnacentral:rRNA from 1 species